UACAGAGGGUGCGAGCGUUGUCCGGAAUCACUGGGCGUAAAGGGCGCGUAGGCGGCCUGAUAAGUAGGGGGGUGAAAUCCUGUGGCUCAACUGCAGGGCUGCCUCCUAGACUGUCGGGCUUGAGCACGGUAGAGGCAGAUGGAAUUCCCGGUGUAGCGGUGGAAUGCGUAGAGAUCCGGAAGAACACCGGUGGCGAAGGCGGUCGACUGGGCCAGUACUGACGCUGAGGCGCGACAGCGUGGGGAGGCAAACGGG
rnacentral:rRNA from 1 species